rnacentral:tRNA from 3 species
GGUCCCGUAGCUCAGUAGGAUAGAGCGACGGAUUCCUAAUCCGUAGGUCACAGGUUCGAAUCCUGUCGGGAUCACCA